GCAAACUUGGUCAUUUAGAGGAAGUAAAAGUCGUAACAAGGUUUCCGUAGGUGAACCUGCGGAAGGAUCAUUAUUGAAUAAACUACCUUGAUGAGCUGUUGCUGGCCUUUAGAGGCAUGUGCACGCCUGUCUUGACUCUAUUCAUCCACCUGUGCACCUUGUGUAGUCCUUUGUUUUCUGAUGCCAGAUUCAUUCAGUGGAAAUACACUGGAUUUGAGGAUUGCCCUGUCACCUUGGCUUGGGCUUUUCUUUACUGAUCUUACUCAGAAAGCACAAAGGUCUAUGUCUUUUUCAUCACAAACUAUGUAGUCUGUCAUCAGAAUGUAAUCAGUGGGCAUUUUGUGUGCCUAUAAAAGUGUUAUACAACUUUCAGCAACGGAUCUCUUGGCUCUCGCAUCGAUGAAGAACGCAGC
rnacentral:misc_RNA from 1 species